AGUCGAGGGGUAUGCUUCUUCGGGAGCAAAGACCGGCGUACGGGUGCGUAACGCGUAUGCAAUCUACCUUUCACAGAGGGAUAGCCCAAAGAAAUUUGGAUUAAUACCUCAUAGUAUAGCAGUUUCGCAUGAAACCACUAUUAAAGUCACAACGGUGAAAGAUGAGCAUGCGUCCCAUUAGCUAGUUGGUAAGGUAACGGCUUACCAAGGCAACGAUGGGUAGGGGUCCUGAGAGGGAGAUCCCCCACACUGGUACUGAGACACGGACCAGACUCCUACGGGAGGCAGCAGUGAGGAAUAUUGGACAAUGGGCGCAAGCCUGAUCCAGCCAUGCCGCGUGCAGGAUGACGGUCCUAUGGAUUGUAAACUGCUUUUAUACGAGAAGAAACCCUCCGACGUGUCGGAGCUUGACGGUAUCGUAAGAAUAAGGAUCGGCUAACUCCGUGCCAGCAGCCGCGGUAAUACGGAGGAUCCAAGCGUUAUCCGGAAUCAUUGGGUUUAAAGGGUCCGUAGGCGGUCAGGUAAGUCAGUGGUGAAAGCCCAUCGCUCAACGGUGGAACGGCCAUUGAUACCGUCUGACUUGAAUUAUUAGGAAGUAACUAGAAUAUGUAGUGUAGCGGUGAAAUGCUUAGAGAUUACAUGGAAAUACCAAUUGCGAAG
rnacentral:rRNA from 1 species